rnacentral:rRNA from 1 species
GAUGAACGCUGGCGGCGUGCCUAAUACAUGCAAGUCGAGCGAACAGAUGAGGAGCUUGCUCCUCUGACGUUAGCGGCGGACGGGUGAGUAACACGUGGAUAACCUACCUAUAAGACUGGGAUAACUUCGGGAAACCGGAGCUAAUACCGGAUAAUAUAUUGAACCGCAUGGUUCAAUAGUUAAAGACGGUUUUGCUGUCACUUAUAGAUGGAUCCGCGCCGCAUUAGCUAGUUGGUAAGGUAACGGCUUACCAAGGCAACGAUCCGUAGCCGACCUGAGAGGGUGAUCGGCCACACGGGAACUGAGACACGGUCCAGAGUCCUACGGGAGGCAGCAGUAGGGAAUGUUCCGCAAUGGGCGAAAGCAUGACGGAGCAACGCCGAGUGAGUGAUGAAGGUCUUCGGAUCGUAAAACUCUGUUAUUAGGGAAGAACAAAUGUGUAAGUAACUAUGCACGUCAUGACGGUACCUAAUAAGAAAGCCACGGCUAACUACGUG